rnacentral:rRNA from 1 species
AUUGAACGCUGGCGGCAGGCCUAACACAUGCAAGUCGAGCGGAUGAAGGGAGCUUGCUCCUGGAUUCAGCGGCGGACGGGUGAGUAAUGCCUAGGAAUCUGCCUGGUAGUGGGGGAUAACGUCCGGAAACGGGCGCUAAUACCGCAUACGUCCUGAGGGAGAAAGUGGGGGAGCUUCGGACCUCACGCUAUCAGAUGAGCCUAGGUCGGAUUAGCUAGUUGGUGGGGUAAAGGCCUACCAAGGCGACGAUCCGUAACUGGUCUGAGAGGAUGAUCAGUCACACUGGAACUGAGACACGGUCCAGACUCCUACGGGAGGCAGCAGUGGGGAAUAUUGGACAAUGGGCGAAAGCCUGAUCCAGCCAUGCCGCGUGUGUGAAGAAGGUCUUCGGAUUGUAAAGCACGUUAAGUUGGGAGGAAGGGCAGUAAGUUAAUACCUUGCUGUUUUGACGUUACCAACAGAAUAAGCACCGGCUAACUUCGUG